AGUAACGCGUGGAUAACCUGCCUCACACUGGGGGAUAGCAGUUAGAAAUGACUGCUAAUACCGCAUAAGCGCACAGUACCGCAUGGUACAGUGUGAAAAACUCCGGUGGUGUGAGAUGGAUCCGCGUCUGAUUAGCCAGUUGGCGGGGUAACGGCCCACCAAAGCGACGAUCAGUAGCCGACCUGAGAGGGUGACCGGCCACAUUGGGACUGAGACACGGCCCAA
rnacentral:rRNA from 1 species